UACGAGGGGGGCGAGCGUUGUUCGGAAUUAUUGGGCGUAAAGGGUGCGUAGGCGGUUCCGCAAGUCCUGUGUGAAAUCUUCGGGCUCAACUCGAAGUCUGCACGGGAAACUGCGGGGCUUGAGUGUGGGAGAGGUGAGUGGAAUUCCCGGUGUAGCGGUGAAAUGCGUAGAUAUCAGGAGGAACACCAAUGGCGAAGGCAGCUCGCUGGGACGGUACUGACACUGAGACGCGAAAGCGUGGGGAGCAAACAGG
rnacentral:rRNA from 1 species